UGUCUCCGAGGAGGAAGGGUGCAGGCUGUGCCAGCGGGCAGAGCACGACCCUGACAUCUACGGAGACACGUGCCGUCAGGACGGGCUCUGCGUCCAUGAGAACUGCCUGUACCACGCCAGCGGGCUGUACCAGCGCGGCGCUGACGAUGAAGGAUUCUUCGGAUUCCUCUUUCCUGACAUCGAGCAGGAGCUGCAGCGCGUGGCACAGAAGGUGAAUAGGGCGACGUGUCCCCACCUCGUCCCUGUGCCACGUGGCUGGGAGACUCCAGCAGAGCCCUCCUUGUCCAGAAAGACCCAUCGCUGCACAAAUCAGAACUGAUUAGUGCUGCGGGGUCCCUAGCCACGUGGCCCACCGGA